AACGAACGCUGGCGGCGUGCUUAACACAUGCAAGUCGAACGCGAAAGUCCUUCGGGAUGAGUAAAGUGGCGCACGGGUGAGUAAUACAUAGGAACGUACCUUUUGGUGGGGGACAACAACGGGAAACUGUUGCUAAUACCGCAUGAUCUCGCAAGAGCAAAGGUGGCGCAAGCUAUCGCCAAAUGAGCGGCCUAUGUCCCAUUAGCUAGUUGGUAAGGUAAUGGCUUACCAAGGCGACAAUGGGUAGCUGGUCUGAGAGGAUGAUCAGCCACACUGGAACUGAGACACGGUCCAGACUCCUACGGGAGGCAGCAGUGGGGAAUAUUGCACAAUGGGCGAAAGCCUGAUGCAGCAACGCCGCGUGAGUGAAGAAGGCCUUGGGUCGUAAAGCUCUGUCCUCAAGGAAGAUAAUGACGGUACUUGAGGAGGAAGCCCCGGCUAACUACGUGCCAGCCGCCGCAGUAA
rnacentral:rRNA from 1 species